GCUCCCAUAGUUCAAUGGAUAGAACGUGGCCUUGCGGAGGCUAAAAUCGAGGUUCGAAUCCUCGUGGGAGCA
rnacentral:tRNA from 1 species